rnacentral:rRNA from 1 species
CUAAUUAGUGACGCGCAUGAAUGGAUUAACGAGAUUCCCACUGUCCCUAUCUACUAUCUAGCGAACCCACAGGCAGGGGAACGGGCCUGCGUUUAACAGCGGGGAAAGAAGACCCUGUUGAGCUUGACUCUAGUCUGAUUUUGUAGAGAGACAUCAGAGGUGUAGCAUAAGUGGGAGGUCGUCACGUCAGGGUCACUUGUGGCCCGUGCGGCCGUCAAUGAAAUACCACUACUCUGAUCGUUUCUUUACUUACUCGGUGAGACGGAAUCGGAGCUUCCCCACGCGGGAUUGUCUCCUGUUUCUAGCCUAAAGCGGCGGAAGGGAGGGCCGGCGGCCUCACGGCCUGUCGGUCCGACCGGGCGUUCGCGCCCGCCGCGAUCCGCUCCGAGGACAUUAUCAGGUGGGGAGUUUGACUGGGGCGGUACAUCUGUCAAAUGAUAACGCAGGUGUCCUAAGGCCAGCUCAGCGUGGACAGAAACCUCGCGUAGAGCAAAAGGGCAAAUGCUGGCUUGAUCCUGAUUUUCAGUACGAAUACGG